GAUGAACGCUGGCGGCGUGCCUAAUACAUGCAAGUCGAGCGAAUGGAUUAAGAGCUUGCUCUUAUGAAGUUAGCGGCGGACGGGUGAGUAACACGUGGGUAACCUGCCCAUAAGACUGGGAUAACUCCGGGAAACCGGGGCUAAUACCGGAUAACAUUUUGAACCGCAUGUUCGAAAUUGAAAGGCGGCUUCGGCUGUCACUUAUGGAUGGACCUGCGUCGCAUUAGCUAGUUGGUGAGGUAACGGCUCACCAAGGCAACGAUGCGUAGCCGACCUGGGAGGGUGAGCGGCCCCACUGGGACUGAGACACGGCCCAGACUCCUACGGGAGGCAGCAGUAGGGAAUCUUCCGCAAUGGACGAAAGUCUGACGGAGCAACGCCGCGUGAGUGAUGAAGGCUUUCGGGUCGUAAAACUCUGUUGUUAGGGAAGAACAAGUGCUAGUUGAAUAAGCUGGCACCUUGACGGUACCUAACCAGAAAGCCACGGCUAACUACGUGCCAGCAGCCGCAGUAA
rnacentral:rRNA from 1 species